GCGCCUGUAGCUCAAUGGCAGAGCACUGAUCUUAUAAGUCAGGGGUUCUUGGUUCGAAUCCAAGCAGGCGCA
rnacentral:tRNA from 1 species